rnacentral:rRNA from 1 species
GUGGGGAAUCUUGCACAAUGGGCGAAAGCCUGAUGCAGCGACGCCGCGUGAGCGAUGAAGCCCUUCGGGGUGUAAAGCUCUUUCGACGGGAACGAUAAUGACGGUACCCGGAGAAGAAGCUGCGGCUAACUACGUGCCAGCAGCCGCGGUAAUACGUAGGCAGCGAGCGUUGUUCGGAAUUACUGGGCGUAAAGAGUGUGUAGGCGGUGCUCCCAGUCUGUUGUGAAAUCUCCCGGCUUAACUGGGAGGGUGCAGCGGAAACUAGAGUGCUAGAGGGUGGGAGAGGUAAGCGGAAUUCCUGGUGUAGCGGUGAAAUGCGUAGAUAUCAGGAGGAACACCUGUGGUGUAGACAGCUUACUGGACCACUUCUGACGCUGAGACACGAAAGCGUGGGUAGCAAACAGGAUUAGAAACCCCAGUAGUCC